UACGUAGGGAGCGAGCGUUGUCCGGAUUCAUUGGGCGUAAAGAGCUCGUAGGCGGCUUGGUAAGUCGGAUGUGAAACCUCCAGGCUCAACCUGGAGUCGCCAUCCGAUACUGUCAUGGCUAGAGUCCGGUAGGGGCCCACGGAACUCCUGGUGUAGCGGUGAAAUGCGCAGAUAUCAGGAAGAACACCGGUGGCGAAGGCGGUGGGCUGGGCCGGCACUGACGCUGGAGGAGCGAAAGCGUGGGGAGCGAACAGG
rnacentral:rRNA from 1 species